rnacentral:rRNA from 1 species
UCUAGAGGCUUCGUCAAUGGGGGCAACCCUGAACGAGCGACGCCGCGUGUGGGAUUGAAGGCCUUCGGGUCGUAAACCACUGUCGAGUGGGAAGAAUGUCCGGAUGGCGAAUCCGGAAGCGACGGUACCACUAUAGGAAGCCCCGGCUAACUCCGUGCCAGCAGCCGCGGUAAUACGGAGGGGGCAAGCGUUGUUCGGAUUUACUGGGCGUAAAGGGUGUGUAGGCGGCUGGACAAGUCUGGUGUGAAAUCUUCACCGCUCAACGGGAAGGGGUCACUGGAAACUGUUCAGCUUGAGUAUGGUAGAGGCAAGCGGAAUUCCUGGUGUAGCGGUGGAAUGUGUAGAUAUCAGGAAGAACAUCGGUGGCGAAGGCGGCUUGCUGGGCCAUCACUGACGCUGAGACACGAAAGCGUGGGGAGCAAACGG